GCCAUUAGAACGGCCGAGAUGGGCGCCGGCAAAUGUAACCGGAAGCAACAACACCUGGAAGGAAGAGGUGGUGGCACCAUGAGAGCCCCCAUCGAUUCUCAUGCUUUCGUUCAGGCAUUCGAUUCGUCAUCGCGGUCGAGUGCGAUCCAGUACUCCAUGAUCAGCUAAAGACGGUGCUGGACCUUGGCCAUCAUCCAUGGAAGCUUCAAGUGAAGAGAGCAUGUGAUGGGCUGAUUGUAGUGGCCGACGCUGCUUUCUAGACUGUCUGUAAAUCGAUUGCAUUGUCAAUGAUGGUCAUAAGGUUGUUCAAGAGAAUGAAGCAGACACGGCGGCGUGGCGAUCUCGCAGUUAAGCGAUGACGUGGAAGCAUUUCAGCGGAUGAGAUCGAUGUCACAAGGAGCAGCAAUGAUCAAUGGACAUGGAUGAGUCAGCUGCGCGAGUAGAGGGGGGUGUCCAAGGACGCCAUGAAAGUGCUUCUUCUCCUCUCCUUUCCUAGUGACUUUUCAUGUUCUGAAUGGUUGCCCAUGCUCAUCAAAGGGAUGUUUAGUGUUUGCCGCCAACAAGCCAUGAGCCCAUGCCAAAAGCCGGCCAUGACCAAGUGGGCAUAUAGGCAUUCCAAAUUGUAAGAGAAGAAUGUUUGAAUUGUAGCCAUGCCAAAACCUGAUAAUUUCUGGUGGUGAUGUGUGAGAGGCUUCAUUUUUGGAUUUUUAUGUUUAUCAAUUUCGUACCAACGCGUGGAUACUAAUAAGCUUUUGUUUCGAGAUUCAUGAUCGUUGUAAAUGAUGUAAGCAUCGGAUGAUGCCAAGACCGAAACUAUUCUAUUUGUAAGAAAAUCUAGUCAAA
rnacentral:lncRNA from 1 species